rnacentral:rRNA from 1 species
UACGUAGGUGGCAAGCGUUGUCCGGAUUUACUGGGCGUAAAGAGCGCGCAGGCGGUCGUCCAAGUCGCGUGUGAAAGCCCCCCGGCUCAACUGGGGAGGGUCACGCGAUACUGGUCGACUCGAAGGCAGGAGAGGGUAGUGGAAUUCCCGGUGUAGUGGUGAAAUGCGUAGAUAUCGGGAGGAACACCAGUGGCGAAGGCGACUACCUGGCCUGUUCUUGACGCUGAGGCGCGAAAGCUAGGGGAGCAAACGGGAU